AAAAGCUCAAGAGGACAACAAGAAAGUAGUGCUGGCUGGAUGUGUUCCGCAAGCCCAACCUCGUCAGGACUACCUUAAAGGCCUGAGUGUCAUCGGGGUUCAGCAGAUAGAUCGUGUGGUAGAAGUUGUGGAGGAAACAAUUAAAGGUCACUCUGUGAGACUACUGGGUCAGAAAAAGGAUAAUGGAAAGCGGUUGGGGGGAGCACGAUUGGAUUUGCCUAAGAUUAGGAAGAAUCCACUGAUAGAAAUCAUUUCUAUCAAUACUGGGUGUCUCAAUGCUUGUACCUAUUGCAAAACUAAACACGCCAGAGGAAAUCUGGCCAGUUAUCCAAUUGAUGAACUAGUGGAUAGAGCCAAGCAAUCUUUUCAAGGUAAGAGUUUCUAGAAUUACAUGUGAAGUUAUUCUUCUUAAUAAAUUAUAUUAGUCUUUCAAUCUGCUUGUUUAGCUUUCUGAAAAGUUUACAAAUAUUUCAGUAUUACUGAUGAAAAAUGUAUCUAGAUUUAA